CGCAGCAAUGUGUGGAGCUGACAAGUACUAAUAGGUCGAGGGCUUAACCAA
rnacentral:rRNA from 1 species